AGCCCGGAGCAGCGCCCCAUGGGCGUUGUCCCCUAUUUGGGGACAUUCCUGCGGGACCUGGUGAUGCUGGACGCCGCCAUGAAGGAUGAGGUGGAGGACGGCUGGAUCAACUUCGAGAAGCGCCGCAAGGUGACCUGCUGUCCCCAUCGCUGUCCCCAUCGCUGUCCCCAUCGCUGUCCUCAUCACUGUCCCCAUCGC